UACGUAGGGUGCGAGCGUUAAUCGGAAUUACUGGGCGUAAAGCGUGCGCAGGCGGGCUUUUAAGCCAGACGUGAAAUCCCCGGGCUCAACCUGGGAAUGGCGUUUGGGACUGGAAGUCUGGAGUGCGGCAGAGGAGACUGGAAUUCCUGGUGUAGCAGUGAAAUGCGUAGAUAUCAGGAGGAACACCGAUGGCGAAGGCAGCUCGCUGGGACGUUACUGACGCUGAGACGCGAAAGCGUGGGGAGCAAACAGG
rnacentral:rRNA from 1 species